UUUAUAACUCUGUCUUGGGUAAAGUCCAUCACAUUAGUAUUCUGCUUGUAUCAGCUACAGGUGUAAUUCACCUGCUGUGUUCGACAUUGGAUACAAUAUAGGACUCAAACUUGUUCUAACUUUCUACAACUGCAAGAUCGCAGCUCCAAAGAGCAGGAGGAAACUGCAUCCUCAGAUUUUGAAAGCACAUCUGACCAAACACAACUGAAGUAUGCUGCUCCCUUCAGAAGCCAUGACAGAAGAUCGUGACAGCGAUUUCUUCAAGAAAAUGGCUUCCAAACAUUCUCUCCGAGAAAAGGAUUUCUCCUGUCCCGUGUGCAGUAAUCUUCCGGGAUCCUGUAAUCCUGUCAUGUAGCCACAGCUUUUGUAAAGUCUGUCUCAGUGAAAUCUGGAAACAAAAGGAUUCUCUGGAAUGUCCAAUUUGCAGCAGAAUAUCCUCAAAGGAAGAACCUCAUCGUAACCUAAUUGUAAAGGAACUGUGUGAGGCCUUCUUAGAGGAGAAGAAUCGGAGAGAUUCAGCAGGGCCUGAGGGGCUCUGCUUUCUGCACCACGAUAAACUCAAACUCUUCUGUCUGAAUGAUAAACAGCCAGUGUGUUUUGUGUGUCAUACUUCUAAAAAAAAACAUGCAAACCACAAUUUCUGUCCCAUGGAUGAAGCUGCACAGGAUUUGAAGAAGAAGUUUGAGAUCUUCCAUAAAGUGAAACUAGCCUGCCAUCAAACAGUAACCCAUAUUAAAGCUACAAGCAGAGGACACAGAAAGGCAGAUUAAAGGGGAGUUUGAGAAGAUACACCAGUUGCUUCGAGAGGACGAGGAGGCCAGGUUAGCUACUCUGAAGGAAGAAGAGGAGCAGAAGAGUGACUUGAUGAAGAAGAAGAUUGAUGAGAUGAUCGGAGGGUUACAUCACUUUCAGACACAAUCAAAGCAAUAGAGGAGGAGCUGAAAGCAGAAGAUAUCUCAUUCCUUCAGGAAAAACCAAUAACUCAAUAAUAAGCAGAAAUGAUUUGAGAUAUAAACUCAGCAAAAAAAGAAACGUCCCUUUUUCAGGACCCUGUCUUUCAAAGAUUAUUCGUACAAAUCCAAAUAAAUAAACAGAUCUUCAUUGUAAAGGGUUUAAACACUGUUUCCCCUUGUUCAAUGAACCAUAAACAAUUAAUGAACAUGCACCUAUGGAACGGUCGUUAAGGCACUAACAGCUUACAGACGGUAGGCAAUUAAGGUUACAGUUAUGAAAACUUAGGACACUAAAGAGGCCUUUCUACUGACUCUGAAAAACACCAAAAGAAAGAUGCAAAGGUUCCGUGCUCAUCUGCGUGAAUGUGACUUAGGCAUGCUGCAAGGAGGCAUGAGGACUGCAGAUAUGGCCAGGGCAAUAAAUUACAAUGUCUGUACUGUGAGACGCCUAAGACAGCGCUACAGGGAGACAGGACAGACAGCUGAUCAUCCUCGCAGUGGCAGACCACGUGUAACAACACUUGCACAGGAUCGGUACAUCCGAACAUCACACCUGCGGGACAGCUACAGGAUGGCAACAACAACUGCCCAAGUUACACCAGGAACGCACAAUCCCUCCAUCAUUGCUCAGACUGUCUGCAAUAGGCUGAGAGGCUGGACUGAGGGCUUGUAGGCCUGUUGUAAAGGCAGGUCCUCACCAGGUCCUCACCAGACAUCACCGGCAACAACGUCGCCUAUGGGCACAAACCCACCGUCGCUGGACCAGACAGGACUGGCAAAAAAUGAUCCUCACCAGGGGUGAUGGUCGGAUUUGCAUUUAUUGUCAAAGGAAUGAGCGUUACACCGAGGCCUGUACUCUGGAGCUUGAUCGAUUUGGAGGUGGAAUGUCAGUGUUCUGCCAUGGCCAGCAAAGAGCCUGG